CACAACUCUCCUUUGCACACAUGCAUACACCCAAGCUUGGCAUGGUACUUGCAAUAAUCGAAGAAAAUGGCGAAGGCAUACACCAUUCUUGUAGCCCUUAGCAUGGUAGCUCUGUUAUCCUGCAAUGAUGUGGAGGGUGAAGCAUACAUGAUGCAUGAAGCGCUUUCUCGCAAAGGUCUAAGGGAAGACAUCAAGCUAGGCACUAAUGGUGCCGUGAAUCCUUCUGCUAUCAGUUUGUCUGGACAGGCAUCUAGCAUCACCACUGGCGUGAACAGCAACACUGAAAGCAGCACAAGCAUUGAGAUCUCAGGCGCUGCUGCAGCCUCUACCUCGAUGACCGCUACUACCGCAGAUACCCACCGUGGGUACCCUAUCACCCGUGACCCAAAACACUAAGAACCAUGAAGAAGCUCGGGUUCAUAUAUCAGGGGCUCAGGGCAACUGAAUCGUCAGUUACCAACGAGUAUCCAUAAAGUGAAUACCGGUACUGUAUUACAAGAUGUAUUCUAUGUGCAUGUCAUAUACUCCUAUGUUAUAUACACAUAUUGGAAUAGGGCAAUAAUAAAGCAUGCAGAUGCCUAUACUGUUAGCCCAGCACAAA